rnacentral:misc_RNA from 1 species
UUAUUCUGCUGCAUUCGUCUGUUUCGAUUUCUCCUGUGCUAUUAUGUGUGUGUGUGUGUGUGCGUGCGUGCCGCCACCACCCCCUUCUCCUCCUCCCUCUCUCUUGUCCGCGGCGUUCAUGUUGUUUGGUGUCGUUUUGGUUUGAUGGCGAUGAGCAUUUUCUGUGUGUGGUGUAAAAGGACGACGCGGCACCAGUCUCCCCCCCCUGCCACGGCUCCCGAGUUCUCUCUCCACGCCUCUGUCUCCCACCCGCCCACCCCUCUCCCACAAGGUGGCGUACGUCGUGUUCGUAAUAGGAGAGGGUUUAAGAAGUAACGUGUACGCGUGUGUGCAUGCAUGAGCGGACGAUGGACGCGGAUACCCAUGUGCGCCUGCGUUGCGGAGUUCAGCCGCGCACGGACUGAGACGUAUCCAUGAUGCACCACGGACGUGCGAGGUACGCACACACGCACACAUGUGCGCACGAAUGUGCCUCCAUACAUGCACGAGAGAGAGAAGCCGAAGACACAAACGCAGACGUGGAAGGUAGAAGGAAAGGUGGCGGUCUCUGUGAUUGUUCAAUGCAGGUCGAGGGCCCGUUCGCUUGAUGCUUACUGUGCCUGUUUGUGCGUAAGCUGGUUACACUCAUGCGCAGAC